rnacentral:misc_RNA from 1 species
UGUUCGUCAGUUUGUCAUUAUGUUCAGCUUGUGUGUUUUUAUUAAGUUUUAGGACUCUAAUGAAUUUAGUUUUUACGAAAGUUUUAGUGGAAAUAACAACAGUGACAAUAAUGCGUGCCGAACCUUUUAUACCUGGCUAAUUGACAUCAUUGAGUCACCACGGCUUCUCCAAAGAGGUGGUUGAGGUUGGGAAGCCAUGGAGGUCGGAGCGCGGGCUCUGGACGUGCUCCCACUGCUCCAGGAGCGGGUGGCGUGCCUCACGGGGGGCCGCGACCGGCGCGGGGGACCCAUCGUGUGGUUCCCCGCCAGCUCGCGCCGGGACCGCAUCGCGCCAGAUGACUAUAGGCGGCUGCUUCACUACCUGAUGAGCAUACCGAGCGAUUCCGUAAGGUCUCACAACUUCACCAUCUUGAUUGACAUGAGAGGUUCAGCUUGGGCCGCGAUCAAACCAAUACUUAAGAUUCUACAAGAAAACUUCCCUUCAUCCGUCCAUCAGGCACUGGUAGUUAAACCUGACAAUUUUUGGCAGAAGCAACGCACAACGAUAGGAGCACAUAAGUAUAAGUUUGAGACGACAAUGAUAAGUUUAGAAGCACUACCUAAAGUGAUAGAUAGCUCACAAUUAACGCCUGAUUUGGAUGGCACACUACAGUAUGACCACGCACAGUGGAUAGAUCUGAGACUGGCUUUAGAAGAACUGUUAUGGCAAGCGGGAGAGUUGUUAGACCGCCUGGACGAUCUGCAAGAGGACGUGGCGCGCGCCGACUUCGCGGAUGACGUCACGGGAGCGCGCCGGGCCAUCGACGCACACGCGGACAUCAGCAAGAGGCUCGCCAAAGUUCCCGUCGACGAACUUGAAGCGCAGGGCGAGCGGGUGUUGCAAAGACUGCAGGCUGCUGAAGCGGCGUGCGCGGAGGCCAGCGGCAGCGGCGGCGAGGUGGCGGCGUUCCACUGCGGCUCGCCGGGCGCCGUGCGCGCGCAGCUCUCCGCCGUGCGCUCCGCACACGCGCACGCGCACAAACUCUGGCAGCACAAGAAGAUGCAGCUCGACCAAUGCUUCCAGCUGCGGCUGUUCGAACAAGACUGUGAAAAGAUGUUGGAGUGGAUCGUGAACCACCGAACGGCGUUCCUGGCGACCUACGUCGAGAUCGGCCGGUCGUGUGCUGCCGCCAAACGACUGCAAGAGGAACAUGCUAGGUUUGCUGCGGCAUGCACGGGCGGUGGGCGGCCAAGUGUGGCGCGCGUCACGACCGCGGCGCGGCGGCUAGCGGACAAGAGGCACUACGCUGAGGCUCAGAUCACCUCGCUGGCGCACCGCCUUGAGAGGGCUUACAAACAACUAUCUGCAGGUCUAGAAGAGCGUUCAGCGGUGUUGUCGCUGUCGGUGGUGUUCCACCACAAGGCGGAGGCGUACGCGUCGGCGGUGGGCGGGGGGGGCGCGCAGUGCGCCGUGGCGUUGCAGCUGGCCACCGGGCAGGGCGGAGCACCCUGCAACGACCCGCGGGCGCUCGAGCAGCACGCGCAGCGGCACCGGCAGCUCUACGAGCACAUGUGUCAGGCAUACACUGAGGUCCAUUCAACCAGCAAGAAACUGCUAUACCAACUAGACCACUUAGUUCAAGUGUGCCAUCAGACCGACCCUGCUGAUAUGAGCGAGGGCAGCGUGAGUACGGCAGGCAGUAGCGGCGGCGACCCCGCGGCCGACUACAGCUCGGGCGCCAACCACGUGCUCGCUGUCAUACACCAGAUACUCGGACAUCACCGCGCCCUCGAGGCCAGAUACCACCAAGCCCGGCUGAAAUUGCACCAGCGACUGGCACUGCUGCUGUACAAGGAAGACUGCAGACAGGUCCUCGACUGGCUGGCCAACCACGGAGAAGUGUUCCUGCAAAAGAACACAGGAAUAGGAAGGAAUCUCGCCAAAGCAAGGGUCUAUCAGAAAUCUCACGAACACUUCGAAAAUGUUGCACAAAACACGUACACAAACGCGGAGAAGCUGCUAGCGGCGGCGGAGGAGCUGGCGCGGUCAGGGGAGUGCGACCCCGAAGAAGUGCUGGGCGUGGCGCGAGAGCUGGAGGCGCACGUGGCGGCCUUCGCGGCACGAGUGGAUCGCCGCCGGCGCCGCCUCGACCUCGCCGUGCUGCUUUACACACACGAGAAGGAGCUCCUGCAAUGGCUGGACACGCUGCGGAGUGGCGGCGGCGUGUGCGCAGCGGACGACACGCCUGAGGCGGCACGGCGUGCGCUCGAGCAGUGCGCUCAGCACCGCGCCGCCAGCCUCGACGCCUGCGCCGCCACCAUCGCGCAGGGGGAGGCUCUGCUGCAGGACCUCAGGUCUUCAGGCGACGCGGACGCAGCGAGCACGGCGGCCGUGGAGACUACUCUGGAACGGCUGCGCGGCACCCGGGGUGCCCUCGAGGAACUGUGGUCGGACCGCGAGCGGCGGCUCGAGCUCACCCUGCAGCUGAGGCAUUUCGAAAGGGAUGCGCUUGAGGUGUCGUCCCGGUUGGAGCUGUGGGGCGACGAGUUGCAGCGCACGGAGCCGCCGCGGGACCCGCAGCAGGCCGAGCAGGCGCUGGCGGCGCACAACGAGAGUGUCGCUAGGAUGCAACAUGCUACUUACCAGGUGGUCCAACAAGGGCAGGAGUUAGCGGCGGCGAUCGCGGAGGCGUCCGACGUGAUGGCUUCAAGUGGGUCGGAAGGCACGGAGGCGGCUCCAUUAGAUGCGCAGGCGCGCGUGCAGCUGCUGCUAGAGUUCCUGCAUGACCGCCAGCUGGAUUUAGAAGAGCUGGCUGAGGAGCGGCGCGCGCGCUUUGAGCAGUGCGUGCAGCUCGGUCAGUUCCAAAAAGACGCAGCUCAAGUAGUGAGCUGGAUUCGCAACGGGGAAGCGAUGCUGGCGGCGUCCUUCUCGAUCCCCGGUACACUGGCCGAGGCUGAGCAACUGAAGCGAGAGCACGACCAGUUCCAAGUGGCCGUUGAGAAGACCCACGCCAGCGCGGUGCAGGUCAAGUAUAGAGCGGACGCUCUACGCGCGGCCAACCACUACGACCCGCACACCAUACGCGAGAUAUCUGAAGAGGUGACGGAGCGAUGGCAGCGCCUGGUGACGUGUGCAGAGGAGCGCCACAAACUGGUCACGGCUUCGCUUAACUUCUACAAGACGGCCGAGCAGGUGUGCUCGGUGCUGGAUUCACUGGAGCGCGAGUACCGGCGUGAUGAGGACUGGUGCGGCUCCUCGGCCGCGCCCCUCGCUGACGAACACGCACCCGCCAACAUCGACAAGGCUGCCCAUGUGGCAGCGCUGAUAGUGAAGCACGGCGAACAGAAGGAGGCGUUCCUGAAGGCGUGCACACUCGCGCGGCGCACAGCCGAGACGUUCCUCAAGUAUGCGGCGCGGUCGGCGCAGGUGCACGGCCAGACGCCCGCCGCCAGCAAGGCGCACCACGAGCAGACGCGCGCCAUCCUCGACACGCUGCUGGCGCAGGAGAACAAGGUAUUGGAGCUAUCGACAUUCCGCAAGAAGCGCCUGGAACAAUGCCAGCAGUUCGCUCUGUUCGAGCGGUCUGCGCGCGCGGCGGUGGAGUGGAUCCGCGAGACGCAGGAGCGGUGUGGCGCGGCAGCUGCGGCGGCGGCGGCGGGCGUGGCGCGUGAGAGCCGCGAGCGCGUGCGCCUGCUGGCCCAGCUGGCUGAUGGACUCGUCGAGAAGGGGCACCCACACGCCGUGCAGAUCAAGGAGUGGGUCGCCGCGGUUGAUGCCAGAUAUGCGGAGUUCAGCGGUUCGAUGGAGGGCGGGGAAAGCGAGGCGGAGAGCGACAGUGGGGUGGCGCCUUCGCUGGCGUCCUCGCAGUCCGCGGAGGGUGACACCCGGGCCGAGCCCCCGCCGCCUGCGCCCGGCGACGAAAAGCGACGCAGCGCCCGCCGCAAGGAGUUCAUAAUGGCGGAGCUGCUGCAGACGGAACGAGCGUACGUCAAGGACCUGGAGACGUGCAUCACGUGUUACCUGCGCGAGAUGCGCACCGACCCCGCCGCCGUGCCGCCCGCGCUGCAGGGAAAGGAGGAGAUAAUAUUCGGCAACAUCGAGGACAUAUACCGGUUCCACGAGCGCGUGUUCCUGCGCGAGCUGAACAAGUACGAGACGAUGCCCGAGGACGUGGGCCACUGCUUCGUGACGUGGGCGCGCGAGUUCAACAUGUACGUCUCCUACUGCCGCAACAAGCCCGACAGCAACGCCGCCGUCGUCCAGCACGCCGGGGACUACUUCGAGAGAGUGCAACGUAAGAAGAAAUUGGAGCACCCGCUGGCGGCGUACCUGAUCAAGCCGGUGCAGAGGAUCACCAAGUACCAGCUGCUGCUCAAGGACCUGCAGGCCUGCUGCCAGGAGGGCCAGGGCGAGAUCAAGGACGGGUUGGAAGUCAUGCUGUCGGUGCCGAAGAAGGCGAACGACGCGAUGCACCUGUCGCUCCUUGAGGGGUGCGCAGUGCCCGCGGACAGCCUGGGCGAGGUGGUGCUGCAGGACUCGUUCCACGUGUGGGACCUGCGUCAGAUCAUCAAGAAAGGCCGCGAGCGCAGGGUCUUCCUCUUCGACCUUCAUCUGUUACUCGCCAAAGAAGUCAAAGACUCGCACGGCAAAGCCAAAUAUAUCUACAAGACUAAGUUUAUGACGUCGGAGCUGGGCGUGACGGAACACAUCGAGGGCGACGAGUGCAAGUUCUCGGUGUGGACGGGCCGCGAGCCGAUGGCCAGCGACUGUCGCAUCGUUCUCAAGGCGCCCUCCCUAGAGGUCAAGCAGACCUGGGUGCGCCGCCUCAGAGAAGUCAUACAGGAAACCUACUUCAGCGGCGUGCUGCCCCCGCGCAGCCCGGCGCGCGUGCGCCCCACCAGCUCGCAGCGAUCCAGCAGGGACCUGGACGGGGAAGCAAUGCUGGAUGAGAUCACGGAGAACCUGGACAGGAACUCGCUGGCGUCCUUCGGGAGCGGCAACACCACUGACUCCGACAAGGCGGAGAUGACGUCAUGGGUGAUAGCGGAGCACGCGGCCGGCAACGCUGGCGAGCUGAGCGUCUCCAAGGGCCAGCAGGUGGAGGUGGUAGAGCCAUGCCAGGGGCGCACCGACUGGUGGGUGGUACGCAUCCCGGGUGAGCCGCCCCAGGAGGGUGCGGUGCCGGCGCAGGUGCUGAAGCCGCAACCGCAGCACCACCCGCAGCAGAAGACUUCGCCCUCGCGCCGCCCGCUCAGCCAGCCCUGCGAGGAGGUGCUCGAAGCUACAAACUCUGACCCGGGGGGCAACGUGAGCGCCGCCAGCCCGGGCAAGCAGCGACGCGGUUUCAGUGGAAGGCGAUGGCUGGGGCUCCGCAAGCCGUCACAGGGCAAAGCCCCGAGCGGGGCGCAGUCUCCGGCCACGGCGGACAAACCAGCGCCGCUCAAGAAAGUACCUUCUAAUAAAGCAAUAAAGACGUACGCGAGCGGCGAGAGCGCACGCGCCGAACAUGAGGAUGCGCAGGCGGCGAGCGCACUCGACGAGACAGAGGACGACGCACCCGACGUGGAGCUGCCGCCACCCAUGAAGCCCAUACAGGACCCACAGACCGUGUUGCAGGCGCCGACGCCCGCGGCCGCCACCGCCGUGCCCGCCACGAGAACCUCCUUGUCGAUGGACGCUUUGGAAACUAACGGUGGUCCGGCCGAUAUCGCGGAGAUAGAACAAAUUGUCAAGGAGAAAAUGGAGCAACACGGCGGCGGCGCCAGCGGGUCGGGCAGCGCGCGCGGUGAGGGCGAAGAGGACGAGGUGCCCGGCACUCCGGGACCGGAUUCUGCAGACGCCAUCCUCAAGAAACGGGAGUACGUCCUCAGGGAGCUCGUUGACACUGAGGAAAUCUACGUCACUGAUUUAAGACUCAUCUGCGAUGGAUACAUGCGACACAUGCAGGAUCCAAACGCGGAGCCUCCGUUGCCAGAGGGGCUGCGCGACCGCCGCCACCGCAUGAUCUUCGGAAACAUCGAGGCCAUCUACGAGUGGCAUCGAGAGCGGUUCCUGCGCGAGCUCCGCGCGUGCAUCGACGCGCCGGAACUGCUGGGCCCGCUGUUCCGCCGCUUCCUCGAGAAGAAGAUGUUCCUCUACGAGGCGUACUGCCGCAACAAACCCGUCUCCGAGUACAUCGUCUCCGAGCACGACCAUUACUUCCAGGAGCUAAGGCAGAAGCUCGGACACAAGCUGCAGCUGGGGGACCUAUUGAUCAAGCCGAUCCAGCGCAUUCAGAAGUACCACCUGCUGGUGAAGAAGAUCCUGACGUACUCGGAGAGCGCCAAUGUGCCGGCCAACGUGAUCGCAUCGCUGCGAGAUGCCGUCACCUGCACCUCCAUCAUACCCAAGAACGCCAACGACAUGAUGGACGUCGGUCGCCUCCAGGGCUUUACGGGCAACAUAACUGCGCAGGGCAAACUGCUGCUGCAGGAGCCGCUGCAGGUCUCUGACGCCAACAGCGGCAGCGACAAGGGCAAAGAAUUGCACGUGUUCCUUUUCGAGCAGUGCGUCAUCUUCAGUGACGCCGUCGGCAAGAAGACUCAGUUCACCAGCCCCACAUACCACUACAAGGCUCACGUUCAGGUGAACAAGAUGGACCUGGAGGAAGUAGAGGGCGGGAACGCGUUCAUCAUCCACUCGCUGGACCCGAACAAGCCGAAGCAGUCCUACUUGUGCCGCGCCGGCGAGGCGCGCCGCCAGCAGUGGAUCGCCACGCUGUCGAGCAUCCUGCGCUCGCAACGAAUGUUCGGCGAGGCGCUCGAGAACCCCGGCGCGUACCUGCGCGAGCUCACCCGCGAACCACCCGCCGAAGGGCUUCGCGCUGGCGAAGGUUGGUGUGGGCUCCGUAAGACGGAGAGCGUGCCGCCUGGGCUGGGUGGGCGGCUAGCGCCGGAGCUGCGCGCGCGCACCCAGCGGCCACACGCCAAGGCCAACACCAUCAACCUGCCCACCAGCACCAUCCGCGACGACCGCGGCAAGGCCGCCGCCAACGUCGCCGCCAACAACGCCGCGCUCAGCCCCACCUCGCCGCCACACAACGUAAGUACAUCACAAAAAUAAAGGGACUACAUACCAGGUUUCACCUAACAAGUAUAUUUCGAACUGCACUUAGACAAUGUAAGCUAAAAACAAAUGACAAAUUCACGCAAGGCAUGGCGUAAAGACUAACUGUAGAAAUAUAUUGGGGAACAAGCAAAACAAGGGACUUUAUAUAACGCUAUUACGCUACUAUGACGAAACUUAGUUCUGCACAGGUUGCAAUAUCACUCAAAAACCGUCGCUUUCGAUUUUCGACCUAAAAACGCAGCGAAUGCUGUCUACUUACAUAAAAGUCGUACGGAUAUUGAUCGAUUCCCGCUAUAUCCGUCGCCCCGUGCGCGAUUGCAUAACCGUGCAAUCCCCUUGCAAGACCCUGCUGAAACCUGUCUUAUCGAAAAAGCCAAACCGUCAGUCGUACUUUUCUACUUAGUCGCAAAAUUAGUUACACUAGAAGUAAAAGCUAACCUAAGAUGUUAAAAAUCAAUCUCAUUUUUCGUUUUAACUUAUUUACGAAUUUUACAUAUGAAUUACGUAACAAUAAGGACGACGUGUGACCACGUUUAUAGAUACCAUCACCUUUUUGUGUACUCUCACGCAAACGUCAUGUAUAUUAACCGUUUUAACGUUUCGAAAAAGUAUUUCAUUUCACUAGGUCGUCAUCUGACAAUAGGCCAGUAGACCAAUAGGCUAGAUAGCCCAUUGCUGAGUACUCAA